rnacentral:rRNA from 1 species
GCGUUAUCCGGAUUCACUGGGUUUAAAGGGUGCGUAGGUGGGUCUGUAAGUCAGUGGUGAAAUCUCCGUGCUUAACAUGGAAACUGCCAUUGAUACUAUAGAUCUUGAAUUUUCUGGAGGUAAGCGGAAUAUGUCAUGUAGCGGUGAAAAGCUCAGAUAUGACAUAGAACACCACUUGCGAAGGCAGCUCCCUACACGAAUAUUGACACUGAGGCACGAAAGCGUG